rnacentral:rRNA from 1 species
GUAGGUGGCAAGCGUUGUCCGGAAUUAUUGGGCGUAAAGCGCGCGCAGGCGGUUCUUUAAGUCUGAUGUGAAAGCCCACGGGCUCAACCGUGGAGGGUCAUUGGAAACUGGAGAACUUGAGUACAGAAGAGGAAAGCGGAAUUCCACGUGUAGCGGUGAAACGCGUAGAGAUGUGGAGGAACACCAGUGGCGAAGGCGGCUUUCUGGUCUGUAACUGACGCUGAGGCGCGAAAGCGUGGGGAGCAAACAGGAUUAGAUACCCUGGUAGUCCACGCCGUAAACGAUGAGUGCUAAGUGUUAGGGGGUUUCCGCCCCUUAGUGCUGCAGCUAACGCAUUAAGCACUCCGCCUGGGGAGUACGGCCGCAAAGGCUG